AAAUUCCAACAGAAGGCUUUGAUGAAAACAAGGGACUUGGUCUAGAUCCUCUAAGUCCCGUUUGACUCCUAACAUUGUUUGGAAUUGAUAGAAUUAUUUUGAUUUCUAUCUUCUAAAUUCUAAAUUCUGAAUUAUUUUGAAGGAUCUCAAAAUUGCAGAUGUGGAAGAAGAGAGAGAGGGCAUGUAGUCUAACCAAAACUUGAAAAGGAGUCUACCCUUCCUCAGCCCCAACAUUCCUGACAAGGGGACUCCCAGGAGCCUCCAAGACCUUCCAGUCACUGGAGCUCGGCAGCUGUGCCAGAGAAGCUGGCCUGUUUACUUGUCUGCCCUGGGAUCCGAGCCCGGAGGAAUCUUUCUACUGUCUGAGGUCAGCUCUUCUGCUAGUCAAGGAGAGGCCAAGGAGCCAUCGUCCGUCCGGGGGGCCCUCCCAGGAUCAGGCCCAUUCACAGCUGUUAUAAUGGAUCAGAACACCUUCAUCCUAAGGGGACCUCAUGCCCAAAUCAACACGUCAACAGAUAUUUAAUAAGUGCCAAUUUGGUGCCAGCCAUUGUGUUAAAUGCUAGAUGUAUAGGUGGCAUCAACAAGCCAGGCCCUCAAGAGGCUCCCCAUCUUUUUUCUUAAAUUCUAUAGUAUUUUGUUGUCAGAUCUACAUUCUCAUCUUCUCAUCUGUGUUUCCCCAAAUCACUGGGAAAAAAAAACCAACCAGAAUUCCUAUUACAAAUAUGUACCAUCAAGCAAAAUAAAUUCCCAUAUUUUCAAAAUA